ensembl:lncRNA
AUGGACUUCUGUAGCCUGGCCAACCACAAGGAGUUUGUUACAGUGGAACAUCUCAUCUUCUGUUGGAGAAAGGUGGCUGCUGAAGCUCCUGUAAUGUCUGCUGGGAUAGCCAUGUUUACCACCCUCAACCUCAGGCUGUUCCCCAUUGAGAGCUUCAUGCCCAACAAGGGUGCAGCACACCGAAUCCCCCCUGAUUCAGGAGCUCAUGUAAACAACCUGCGGGCAGCACCUCCUCUCCCCAGACUGUACCCGGUUACUAAGAUCUCAUACUGCUCCCAUAAAGAACACCUCCAGAUUUCUCCAGAAGUCUUUUUUAUUUCUUUUACAGGGACAUCUGUAAACUCAGCUGUGUUGGAUUGCGACAUGGCCUUUAUCAGAAAAUUGGGGUGUGCAGUUAAGCCAUCUAUAUACAGGUAUGUAUCUGGAUCUGUUGCAGUGAUUGGAAUUAUUUGUAUCUAAAUUC